rnacentral:rRNA from 1 species
UUCUGUAAGCCGUUGAAGGUGUGUUGUAAAGCAUGCUGGAGGUAUCAGAAGUGCGAAUGCUGACAUGAGUAACGACAAGGGGGGUGAAAAACCUCCCCGCCGGAAGACCAAGGGUUCCUGUCCAACGUUAAUCGGGGCAGGGUAAGUCGACCCCUAAGGCGAGGCUGAAAAGCGUAGUCGAUGGGAAACGGGUUAAUAUUCCCGUACUUCUUACAAUUGCGAUGGGGGGACGGAGAAGGCUAGGUGGGCCUGGCGACGGUUGUCCAGGUUCAAGUGCGUAGGCUGAGUGUUUAGGUAAAUCCGGACACUCUUAAGGCUGAGACACGACGUCGAGCUACUACGGUAGUGAAGUCAUUGAUGCCAUGCUUCCAGGAAAAGCCUCUAAGCUUCAGAUUGUAAGGAAUCGUACCCCAAACCGACACAGGUGGUCGGGUAGAGAAUACCAAGGCGCUUGAGAGAACUCGGGUGAAGGAACUAGGCAAAAUGGUACCGUAACUUCGGGAGAAGGUACGCUCUUGAUGGUGAAGUCCCUUGCGGAUGGAGCUGACGAGAGUCGCAGAUACCAGGUGGCUGCAACUGUUUAUUAAAAACACAGCACUGUGCAAAAUCGUAAGAUGACGUAUACGGUGUGACGCCUGCCCGGUGCCGGAAGGUUAAUUGAUGGGGUUAGCGCAAGCGAAGCUCUUGAUCGAAGCCCCGGUAAACGGCGGCCGUAACUAUAACGGUCCUAAGGUAGCGAAAUUCCUUGUCGGGUAAGUUCCGACCUGCACGAAUGGCGUAAUGAUGGCCACGCUGUCUCCACCCGAGACUCAGUGAAAUUGAAAUCGCUGUGAAGAUGCAGUGUACCCGCGGCUAGACGGAAAGACCCCGUGAACCUUUACUACAGCUUGGCACUGAACAUUGAACCUACAUGUGUAGGAUAGGUGGGAGGCUUUGAAGACGUGACGCCAGUUGCGUUGGAGCCGUCCUUGAAAUACCACCCUUGUAUGUUUGAUGUUCUAACGUUGGCCCCUAAUCGGGGUUGCGGACAGUGCCUGGUGGGUAGUUUGACUGGGGCGGUCUCCUCCCAAAGAGUAACGGAGGAGCACGAAGGUGGGCUAAUCACGGUUGGACAUCGUGAGGUUAGUGCAAUGGCAUAAGCCCGCUUAACUGCGAGAAUGACGGUUCGAGCAGGUGCGAAAGCAGGUCAUAGUGAUCCGGUGGUUCUGAAUGGAAGGGCCAUCGCUCAACGGAUAAAAGGUACUCCGGGGAUAACAGGCUGAUACCGCCCAAGAGUUCAUAUCGACGGCGGUGUUUGGCACCUCGAUGUCGGCUCAUCACAUCCUGGGGCUGAAGUCGGUCCCAAGGGUAUGGCUGUUCGCCAUUUAAAGUGGUACGCGAGCUGGGUUUAGAACGUCGUGAGACAGUUCGGUCCCUAUCUGCCGUGGGCGUUGGAAGAUUGAAGGGGGCUGCUCCUAGUACGAGAGGACCGGAGUGGACGAACCUCUGGUGUUCGGGUUGUGUCGCCAGACGCAUUGCCCGGUAGCUAAGUUCGGAAUCGAUAACCGCUGAAAGCAUCUAAGCGGGAAGCGAGCCCUGAGAUGAGUCUUCCCUGAUACUUUAAGUAUCCUAAAGGGUUGUUCGAGACUAGAACGUUGAUAGGCAGGGUGUGUAAGCGCUGUGAGGCGUUGAGCUAACCUGUACUAAUUGCCCGUGAGGCUUAACCAUACAACACCCAAAGGGUUUUG